GACGGAGGAUGCAAGUGUUAUCCGGAAUCACUGGGCGUAAAGCGUCUGUAGGUUGUUUAAAAAGUCUGCAGUUAAAGGUUGAAGCUUAACUUCAAAAAUGCCGUAGAAACUUUUAAACUAGAGGAUGGUAGGGGUAGAGGGAAUUUCCAGUGGAGCGGUGAAAUUCGUAGAUAUUGGGAGAACACCAGUGGCGAAGGCGGCUCACUGGCCGUACGUGCUACGCUGACGGCGCG
rnacentral:rRNA from 1 species